GUGGGGAAUCUUCCGCAAUGGACGAAAGUCUGACGGAGCGACGCCGCGUGAGUGAAGAAGGCCUUCGGGUCGUAAAGCUCUGUCAUCAGGGACGAACGGCCGGUGGAGUGGAAAGCCACCGGAUUGACGGUACCUGAGAAGGAAGCCACGGCUAACUACGUGCCAGCAGCCGCGGUAAUACGUAGGUGGCAAGCGUUGUCCGGAAUUAUUGGGCGUAAAGCGCGCGCAGGUGGGAUCUUAAGUCCAUUUUUAAAGUUCGGAGCUCAACUCCGUGAUGGGAUGGAAACUGGGAUUCUUGAGUACCGGAGAGGAAAGCGGAAUUCCCCGUGUAGCGGUGAAAUGCGUAGAUAUGGGGAGGAACACCAGUGGCGAAGGCGGCUUUCUGGACGGUGUCUGACACUGCGGCGCGAAAGCCAGGGGAGCGAACGGGAUUAGAUACCCGAGUAGUCC
rnacentral:rRNA from 1 species